UGGGGAAUAUUGGACAAUGGGCGCAAGCCUGAUCCAGCCAUGCCGCGUGAGUGCUGAAGGCCUUAGGGUUGUAAAGCUCUUUCACCCACGACGAUAAUGACGGUAGUGGGAGAAGAAGCCCCGGCUAACUUCGUGCCAGCAGCCGCGGUAAUACGAAGGGGGCUAGCGUUGUUCGGAUUUACUGGGCGUAAAGCGCGCGUAGGCGGAACGUUAAGUCGGAGGUGAAAGCCUGGGGCUCAACCCCAGAACUGCCUUCGAUACUGGCGGUCUCGAGUCCGGGAGAGGUGAGUGGAACUGCCAGUGUAGAGGGGAAAUUCGUAGAGAUUGGCAAGAACACCAGUGGCGAAGGCGGCUCACUGGCCCGGUACUGACGCUGAGGUGCGAAAGCGUGGGGAGCAAACA
rnacentral:rRNA from 1 species